rnacentral:lncRNA from 1 species
UAAUGACUCACUCAGAGAUGAAGAGGACCGGCCUUACAGGUAUGAACCAUUAAUGACUCACUCAGAAGAUGAAGAGGACCAGCCUUACAGGUAUGAACCAUUAAUGACUCACUCAGAGACGAAGAGGACCAGCCUUACAGGUAUGAACCAUUAAUGACUCACUCAGAGAGACGAAGAGGACCAGCCUUACAGGUAUGAACCAUUAAUGACUCACUCAGAGAGACGAAGAGGACCAGCCUUACAGGUAUGAACCAUUAAUGACUCACUCAGAGAUGAAGAGGGACCAGCGCUUACAGGUAUGAACCAUUAAUGACUCCACUCAGAGACGAAG